rnacentral:rRNA from 1 species
UACGUAGGCAGCAAGCGUUGUUCGGAGUUACUGGGCGUAAAGCGUGCGCAGGCGGUUUUGUAAGUCUGACGUGAAAUCCCCGGGCUCAACCUGGGAAUGGCAUUUGGGACUGCAAGGCUGGAGUGCGGCAGAGGAGACUGGAAUUCCUGGUGUAGCGGUGAAAUGCGCAGAUAUCAGGAGGAACACCAGUGGCGAAGGCGGUGGUCUGGGCCGAUACUGACGCUGUAGAGCGAAAGCGUGGGGAGCGAACAGG